rnacentral:rRNA from 1 species
CAGCCGCCGCGGUAAUACAGAGGGUGCAAGCGUUAAUCGGAUUUACUGGGCGUAAAGCGUGCGUAGGUGGUUUGUUAAGUCGGAUGUGAAAUCCCCGGGCUUAACCUGGGAACUGCAUCCAAUACUGGCAAGCUAGAGUAUGGUAGAGGGUGGUAGAAUUUCAUGUGUAGCGGUGAAAUGCGUAGAUAUAGGAAGGAACACCAAUGGCGAAGGCGACCACCUGGACUGAUACUGACACUGAGGUGCGAAAGCGUGGGGAGCAAACAGGAUUAGAUACCCCGGUAGUCCCUGUCUCUUAUAU